rnacentral:rRNA from 1 species
AAUAUUGCACAAUGGAGGAAACUCUGAUGCAGCGACGCCGCGUGAGUGAUGAUGGCCUUCGGGUCGUAAAACUCUGUCCUAGGGGUCGCUAAUGACGGUACCCUUGGCUGAAGCCCCGGCUAACUACGUGCCAGCAGCCGCGGUAAUACGUAGGGGGCAUGCGUUGUCCGGAUUUAUUGGGCGUAAAGGGUUCGUAGGCGGUCUUUUAAGUCAGAUGUGAAAGAUCACGGCUCAACCGUGGUAAGCAUUUGAAACUGGAAGGCUUGAGUUAAGGAGAGGAAAGUGGAAUUCCUAGUGUAGCAGUGAAAUGCGUAGAUAUUAGGAGGAAUACCAGUGGCGAAGGCGACUUUCUGGACUUAUACUGACGCUGAGGCACGAAAGCGUGGGGAGCAAAC